rnacentral:lncRNA from 1 species
AUUUCUUAUGCAUAAUCAUGUCAAGCUUUUCAAGCUCUUCAAUGUCUUUGAUCAUCGAUCAUGGACAAACUGCCCAUCAUGCAUCUCAUGCAUUGUGUGACUCUGAUCAUCUCACAACUAUUGUAGAUGAAUCAACAUAUCAUUGGCAGUCUAUAUGUCCUUAUACAUAUAUUGGAUCUCAUUGACUAUGUAAUCCAAUUUAUAGCACCUAACCUAAUUGUCAAUGUCCAACCAUUUGUCAAAUAUGGCUCAUUGACUAU